CGCGGCCCAUAAGAUAGUUGGCGGUGUAAUAGACCACCAAGGCUAAGACGGGUAGCUGGUCUGAGAGGAUGAUCAGCCACACCGGAACUGAGACACGGUCCAGACUCAUACGGGAGGCAGCAGUGGGGAAUAUUGGGCAAUGGGCGCAAGCCUGACCCAGCCAUGCCGCGUGAGUGAUGAAGGCCUUCGGGUCGUAAAGCUCUGUGGGGAGGGACGAAUAAGCACGGUGCCAAUACCACCGGGCCUUGACGGUACCUCCUUAGCAAGCACCGGCUAACUCCGUGCCAGCAGCCGCGGUAAUACGGAGGGUGCAAACGUUGCUCGGAAUCAUUGGGCGUAAAGCGCACGUAGGCGGCUUGUUAAGUCGGAUGUGAAAGCCCUGGGCUCAACCCUGGAAGUGCAUUCGAUACUGGCAGGCUUGAAUAUGGAAGAGGGUCGCGGAAUUCCCGGUGUAGAGGUGAAAUUCGUAGAUAUCGGGAGGAACACCAGUGGCGAAGGCGGCGACCUGGGCCAAUAUUGACGCUGAGGUGCGAACAGCCUGGGGAGCAAACAGUGAUUAGCAUACCCUGGUAGU
rnacentral:rRNA from 1 species